UACGAGGGGGGCAAAUGUUGUUCGGAAUCACUGGGCGUAAAGGGAGCGUAGGCGGGGUCUUAAGUAAGGUGUUUAAUCCCGGGGCCCAACCCCGGACCGGCACUUUAAACUGGGAAUCUUGAAUAGUGGAGAGGUCGGUGGAAUUGGGGGUGUAGCGGUGGAAUGCGUAGAGAUCCCCAAGAACACCAGUUGCGAAGGCGGCCGACUGGACACAUAUUGACGCUGAGGCUCGAAAGCAUGGGGAGCAAACAGG
rnacentral:rRNA from 1 species